rnacentral:rRNA from 1 species
CCUACGGGUGGCAGCAGUGGGGAAUAUUGGGCAAUGGACGCAAGUCUGACCCAGCAACGCCGCGUGAAGGAAGAAGGCUCUCGGGUUGUAAACUUCUUUUGUACGAGGAUAAACGCAGAUACGCGUAUCUGUCUGAAAGUAACGUACGAAUAAGGAUCGGCUAACCCCGUGCCAGCAGCCGCGGUAAUACGGAGGAUUCAAGCGUUAUCCGGAUUUAUUGGGUUUAAAGGGUGCGUAGGCGGGCGGAUAAGUUAGAGGUGAAAUCCCGAGGCUCAAAUGCGAAAUUGCCUAUGAUACUGUUCGGCUAGAGAAUAGUUGCGGUAGGCGGAAUGUGUGGUGUAGCGGUGAAAUGCUUAGAGAUCAUACAGAACACCGAUUGCGAAGGCAGCUUACCAAGCUACUACUGACGUUGAUGCACGAAAGCGUGGGGAGCAAACAGGAUUAGAUACCCGUGUAGUC